ACUGCACCCAUGACUAAGCCGGGUCAGGCAAAAGGGGAACGUGCGUUUAUUCGGGUGCCUUUGUGUUCGAAGGACCUUACGUUCCGACAAAAUUCAAGGCUCCCACAAUGUUCGGAGAGUUUCUGUUUGACUCGGGUCGUGCGGUCAACCGGGAAGGAUUACAAGAAAGAAGGAAGGAGUGUUUC
rnacentral:lncRNA from 1 species